rnacentral:rRNA from 1 species
GUCCCGCCUGCCCUGUGACCACAAGUUUAACGGCCGCGGUAUUUUGACCGUGCAAAGGUAGCGCAAUCACUUGUCUUUUAAAUGAAGACCUGUAUGAAUGGCAUGACGAGGGCUUAACUGUCUCUUCUUUCCAGUCAAUGAAACUGAUCUCCCCGUGCAGAAGCGGGGAUAUCCCCAUAAGACGAGAAGACCCUAUGGAGCUUUAGACAUAGGACAGACCAUGUUAAACACCUCUAAUUAAAGAACAAAACUAAUUGGCACCUGCUCUAAUGUCUUUGGUUGGGGCGACCGCGGGGAAACAAAAAACCCCCAUGUGGACUGAAGAGACCCCUCUUCACAGUCAAGAGCCACAGCUCUAAACAACAGAACUUCUGACCAACAAGAUCCGGCAAAGCCGAUCAACGGACCGAGUUACCCUAGGGAUAACAGCGCAAUCUCCUUCUAGAGCCCAUAUCGACAAGGAGGUUUACGACCUCGAUGUUGGAUCAGGACAUCCUAAUGGUGCAGCCGCUAUUAAGGG